GAUCAUGGCUCAGGAUGAACGCUGGCGGCGUGCUUAACACAUGCAAGUCGAGCGAAGCAGUUAAGUUGAUUUCUUCGGAUUGAUUCUUAACUGACUGAGCGGCGGACGGGUGAGUAACGCGUGGGUGACCUGCCCCAUACCGGGGGGAUAACAGCUGGAAACGGCUGCUAAUACCGCAUAAGCGCACAGAGCUGCAUGGCUCGGUGUGAAAAACUCCGGUGGUAUGGGAUGGGCCCG
rnacentral:rRNA from 1 species